UCGUUUUAUAUUUUGAAUAUGUUGGCCUUUCACCGAUUGCAAAUAAUUAUUUGGUAAAAGUUUCUCAUUUAUAUCGAUUACCUAAGCAAUUCGUAUUAGACUUAAUUUUGGAGGAUGGAUAUAUACCUCUGCGAUUUAGAAAAAAUAAAUUAAAAAAAAUCGGUGAGAGAACAAUUAAGGCAAUUUGGUAUGAUCAACCUACUGAUGAUAGGUUUAACAUUCAUUGUGCUGUGUGUAUGUUUGUAUAUCAUCCAGACACUGUUCAAUUUCCUGACCUUGAUCAUUUUUAUUUGGAAAAUCUAUUCACGGAAUCUUGAGGACAAGAUUUUUUUGUUAGUAGGGGAAAUUUAUCAUAACGGAAAUUAUACAGAAAUUGGUUAAAGGACAUGCGGUAUAUAGAUAACGUAUGUUUAUUUAUGUUCAUGGAGAAAUGUGUUAUUAAGUCCAGUGAUGAGCCUGUCGAUGCCGGGUCAGAAAUCUAAAUAAAACGCUUCUACUAACCACGGUGCGUCAGAUCAUUAGUAUGCACUUAAUCGCAUUUACUUAUAAGGUCCGGAGAUCGGAGGUAGUGUCCGUGCGUAUAAGCCAGUAGUCAACUGGAAGCUGUCUUUUCCCUCCUCUUUUUAUACAUGUAAGAUCAUAGUAAGAUACUUGCGCGGUUUUAAUAAAAGUUAACAAAAAUGAUUCAGAAGGUUCAAGUAAAUAUAAUAUCUUAUUUUCAGAGUUUUUGUAAUCAAUGUUUAUUGUUAAUAACUAUACAUUAUAUUAUAUUGUGGAAUUUGAUUGGAAUGUUUUAUUAGUAAACUUGAAUAAAAGAAGUAGUCAACUGAAAGCUGUCUUUUGCCUCCUCUUUUUAUACAGGGAAAGGGCUACUCCCCAGGUUGAGGAGGAGAGAAUUCUGGGUUAUAUAACGUGGCACAGACAACGCCAGGUGUCUGGUCAAGGACGAAUAAGACCCCGAGGAUCAAAUUAACUGAAAUAUCGUAUUAAGCGAAAUCCUAGUACGAUAUCAUACUGGAAACGACUACGACCUGAUGGCCACCCCGGUCUCUCAGACGUCGGGGGGACUGCCCCGCCUAUUCUUCGCGGGGGAACACACCAUCAGGAACUACCCCGCCACGGUUCACGGGGCUCUCCUCAGUGGUCUUCGAAAGGCGGGUCGGAUAGCGGACAAAUUCCUUGGGACACCUACGCCCUACCCACCCACAAAAACGAAGGGAUGAAGACGUAAUAACAACUCGCAUCAAUGACAUUCAUCAUCCGAGUCAUUUCACAUUGCCGAGACAUACCUAACAUGCAUUUGGGUUCUUGGCAUGUUUAGAAGUGCAGAUACGGGAUUAGCGUAUUUUUUUCUUCUUUUUUUUUAACCUUGAAAAAUAAAUCAUUUUUAGAAACCACUUGCAUCAGUGAAAAUGGCAGCUGCGAUUCGAGUUGUAAUUGUUAUGGCUAAAUUCAAAUGGUUCGUGUUUAUAUUUGUUGGUGAUUAGAAUACCGUACAUGUUUUUCGUAUCAUCAAGUUAAUGCAAUACAAACUUCCUUAGGCUAGUAUAAAAUGGUGUCAAUGCAAUAACCAUUGAUACGGUUUCAUUUAUACAUCACAGUGUGUGUUCUUGGCAUAUGUUCAUCAUUUUUUCAUCCAGUCAAUUUUGCACAUCGCUGAACCAGGCGUUUCAGGAUGUAAUAAAAGUAUGUGACAAAU